rnacentral:misc_RNA from 1 species
GAUGAAGAACGCAGCGAAAUGCGAUAAGUAAUGUGAAUUGCAGAAUUCAGUGAAUCAUCGAAUCUUUGAACGCACCUUGCGCCUUUUGGUAUUCCGAAAGGCACACCUGUUUGAGCGUCAUGAAUACCUCAAUCUCCAUCUUUUCUUCGGAUUGAUGGGUGACUCGGAUGUUGAGCCCUGCUGGUAUGCUAUAUCAGCUGGCUUUAAACUUAUUAGCCGGCUCUGUACUGGAUCGGUUUGACUCGACGUGAUAAUAUUAUCGUUGAGGAUGCAUGUCUCAUGCAGCCGGAAAGUAUCAAAGCAGCUUCUAGCUUGCCUUUAGUGCACUUUUACAUUUUAGACCUCAGAUCAGGUGGGACUACCCGCUGAACUUAAGCAUAUCAAUAAGCGGAGGA